rnacentral:rRNA from 1 species
GAUGAACGCUGGCGGCGUGCCUAAUACAUGCAAGUCGAGCGACGCGGGGGCAGGUGAGUAAAACGUGGAUAACCUCCUCUAUGGCUGGGGUAACUUCCUGGAACCGGUGCUAAACCGGAUACUUAUCGAUUGUGCCGCGCUGUAGUAGCUAGUUGGUAAGGUAACGGCUUACCAAGGCAACGAUGCAUAGCCGACCUGAGAGGGUGAUCGGCCACACUGGAACUGAGACACGGUCCAGACUCCUACGGGAGGCAGCAGUAGGGAAUCUUCCGCAAUGGGCGAAAGCCUGACGGAGCAACGCCGCGUGAGUGAUGAAGGUCUUCGGAUCGUAAAACUCUGUUAGUAGGGAAGCGGUACCUAUUCAGAAAGCCACGGCUAACUACGUGCCAGCAGCCGCGGUAAUAC